AGGUGUCCAACUAGAGAGAGAGAGGGGUCCAACUAGAGAGAGAGAGAGAGAGAGGUGUCCAACUAGAGAGAGAGAGAGAGAGAGAGGUGUCCAACUGGAGAGAGAGAGGUGUCCAACUAGAGAGAGAGAGAGAGAG